rnacentral:rRNA from 1 species
UACGUAGGGGGCGAGCGUUGUCCGGAUUUAUUGGGCGUAAAGAGCGUGUAGGCGGCCAGGUAGGUCUGCUGUGAAAACUCGAGGCUCAACCUCGAGACGUCGGCGGAAACCAUCUGGCUAGAGUCCGGAAGAGGAGAGUGGAAUUCCUGGUGUAGCAGUGAAAUGCGUAGAUAUCGGGAGGAACAUCUGUGGCGAAGGCGACACCCUGGACCAGCACUGACACUGAGGCACGAAAGCGUGGGGAGCAAACAGG